rnacentral:rRNA from 1 species
GACGAACGCUGGCGGCGUGCUUAACACAUGCAAGUCGAACGGAAAGGCCCUGCUCUUGUGGGGUGCUCGAGUGGCGAACGGGUGAGUAACACGUGAGUAACCUGCCCUUGACUUUGGGAUAACUUCAGGAAACUGGGGCUAAUACCGGAUAGGAGCUCCUGCUGCAUGGUGGGGGUUGGAAAGUUUCGGCGGUUGGGGAUGGACUCGCGGCUUAUCAGCUUGUUGGUGGGGUAGUGGCUUACCAAGGCUUUGACGGGUAGCCGGCCUGAGAGGGUGACCGGCCACAUUGGGACUGAGAUACGGCCCAGACUCGUACGGGAGGCAGCAGUGGGGAAUAUUGCGCAAUGGGGGGAAGCCUGAUGCAGCAACGCCGCGUGCGGGAUGACGGCCUUCGGGUUGUAAACCGCUUUCGCCUGUGACGAAGCGUGAGUGACGGUAAUGGGUAAAGAAGCACCGGCUAACUACGUG